CUCGCUCUCACUCGCGGUCCCAUUACUACCCUCGCUUCCGCCGCCUCGUCUUAGCUUCCCCUUUCUUUCCCCCCUUGUUUAUCUCAUUCUAGGUCAUAUAGUCGGAGAGGGAGAGAUGCAAGGUAUGACUAAGGAUCUAGAUAUGGAGCUUCGAAAGCUAAAUUGCAGAACGACGGGUGGAUUCAUAAAGUUGCUUACCGAGCAGAAAAAUCCUUCUCUUUGUAAAUUUGCAUCAAUUUUAUCCUGCUGCUAACUUCUCCUCUGCAUUCUCUUCCCCGAUAUGAAAGCAGACCAGAAAAUUCAAAUUCUACCAUAAUCCUCAUCUUUAGCUCAAAAUCUAGGUCAAGUGAGAGCUGUUUAAAAUAGUAGUAUAUAGUUCAAUUCAAGAAAAUUAUAACAGAGAGGUAAAGGAGCUUUAUUAACCUCUGCAAUGAUAAUCUGAAGAUAUGUUUGAGUUUUUGUUGUUGUUAGGAUGGAUAAUUUCUGUUGAGUUGCAGACAUGGAUGAUACUGUCAGUAUAACUAAUUUAUACUCACUUCAUCGUUGUAAAACAGUUCACCUGGUAAGGCAUGCCCAAGGGUUCCAUAAUGUAGCAGGAGAAAAAGAACCUAGUGCAUACAUGUAAGAAGUGUUUUUUAUGCAAAGCUCCCACAUCUUGGCUGGCAGCAGGUAGUAAAUUUAGUCAAUAAUUCAUGUCAGAUUAUCUCAUGUAAAUAUAUCCUAAUUUACAAUAACAUAUA